rnacentral:tRNA from 1 species
AUUCAUUUAGUAUAAUUAAUAUUUCUAACUUCCAAUUAGAAGAUCUUAAAUAAGAAUGAAUA